rnacentral:rRNA from 1 species
UGGGGAAUAUUGGACAAUGGGCGCAAGCCUGAAUCCAGCAAUGCCGCGUGAGUGAUGAAGGCCUUAGGGUUGUAAAGCUCUUUCGCACGCGACGAUGAUGACGGUAGCGUGAGAAGAAGCCCCGGCUAACUUCGUGCCAGCAGCCGCGGUAAUACGAAGGGGGCUAGCGUUGUUCGGAAUUACUGGGCGUAAAGGGCGCGUAGGCGGCCUGUUUAGUCAGAAGUGAAAGCCCCGGGCUCAACCUGGGAAUAGCUUUUGAUACUGGCAGGCUUGAGUUCCGGAGAGGAUGGUGGAAUUCCCAGUGGUAGAGGUGAAAUUCGUAGAUAUUGGGAAGAACACCGGUGGCGAAGGCGGCCAUCUGGACGGACACUGACGCUGAGGCGCGAAAGCGUGGGGAGCAAACAGAUUAGAUACCCUGGUAGUCCACGCGUAAACGNUGAAUGCNGACGUCGGGUGCAUNCACUUCGGUGUCGCCGCUAACGCAUUAAGCAUUCCGCCUGGGGAGUACGGCCGCAAGGUUAAAACGUCAAAUGAAUUGAC